rnacentral:rRNA from 1 species
CGCUUGUCUCAAAGAUUAAGCCAUGCAUGUCGUAGUACUUGCUUUUCCUUAUGAAAGAGCGAAACCGCGGACGGCUCAUUAAAUCGGUUACGGUUCACUCGCCCGUCCGCGUCCUGCUUUGUCAGGGCGUAGUCGGAUAACUGUGGUAAUUCUAGAGCUAAUACGUGCAACUUACGGCUUCCGAGAAAAUCGGGGGCUGGCAUUUAUUAGUCUGGCGUGCGCGACCUUUAAGGUUUCGCGCGCCUGACGGCUCUGAAUAACGGUGGCGGAUCGUCCUCUUCUGAGGACGACCGGGCUUUUGAGUGUCCGCCUUAUCAACUUUCGACGGUAGGUUCAGCGCCUACCGUGGUGGUUACGGGUGACGGGGAAUCAGGGUUCGAUUCCGGAGAGGGAGCCUGAAAGACGGCUACCACAUCCAAGGAGGCAGCAGGCACGCAAAUUACCCACUCUCCGAAAGAGAGGAGGUAGUGACGAAAAAUAACGAUACGGGACUCUUAACGAGGCCUCGUAAUCGGAAUGAGACCGCUUCAAAUCCUCGAGACGAGGAUCUAUCGGAGGGCAAGUCUGGUGCCAGCAGCCGCGGUAAUUCCAGCUCCGAUAGCGUAUAUUAAAGUCGCUGCGGUUAAAAAGCUCGUAGUUGGAUUUGGGUCGACCGGGCCGCCGGGCCGCCGCCUCCGUGUGGCGAGUUCCCGUGUGUCCCCGGGACCGCACGUUCACCCCCGCAGUGCUCUUAACUGAGUGUCUGCGGUAGCGGGUGACCGAACGUUUACCUUGACAAAACCGGAGUGCUCGAGGCGUGGGCGUUCGCCGCCCGUACGUCCUCGCUGGGAAUAAUGGAAGAGGACCGUUGGUCAAAAAAAGGUUUUUUGUCAGAGAGGUGGGAGAGCAAAAAAGAGGUUGUGCUGGUGGGGGGUUACAAAGGGGGGUGACUCCCUUUCCCCCUCUGGUCUUCCUCUUUCUCCUCCUCGAAACCUUCCUCCCCGCGUACAGCACUGUGGAUCGGCUGGCGCUUUAUGGCGGAAAGGGUGGAUCUAGAAAGAAGGGUGAAAGCAGGUGGCUGUUUGCCAGAUGGUGAAAACCGGAUGGCCGGUCGUUUGUGGAAGCCUGGAAUCUUUUUCCCCCUUGCUGUCGUGGUGCUUCCGUACCCUCGGUGUCAGCGGGAGGAGGUCGAAAAUCAAAAUAAAAAAACGUGUCAUGAUUAAGAGGGACGGCCGGGGGCAUUCGUACCGCGGCGCGAGAGGUGAAAUUCUAGGACCGUCGCGAGACGAACGAUAGCGAAAGCAU